UGGCCCGCCAGCCGCCGAUCCCGCGCUGCCCCGCGACACACACGCGCGCGUGGCCAUGGAGACCAUGCACCGGGCCGACCGCGCACUUAGCAUCCGCUGCGGAGAAACGAAGGACACGGGACUGAGUCCACACACCCUCCCCACGCAUCCCAGACAAGCACACCCUGGAACCUCCUCUGCUCUGCGUGGCGGGUUAACGCGGCUUCUACGCCGGCAGCGGAGGGACAAGGGCGAUUGAACGGUCUUGCCGUAGCAAGUGUCUUGCCUCAGUAUGUGAAUCUGUCUCAGCUGACAUCACUCUGCCAAUUGUCCUGAGUCUGUAGAAUCUACAAGAAACUGCAGUACAUCACCAGAAAUUUUUUGGCUGAUUUCUCUCUAUGGAAUCCUGACAAAUGGAGCUCAGCUAAGCAAUGUAAGGCAGACCAAUACAUUCCUUUCACGUGCUUUCUUUGGCAGAACAUCCUUUCAUCUGUGUCCACUUCACAUGUUUGCCCCAGCAAAACACCAUCAUCCAGCACAACUGACUUUCCAGAGAACUGAGCUGGGUUGACAGGCUGGUACCACCAUGCUCGGAACCACUAUGCUCUGCCUAGACUUACCACUUCUUUCAUUUGUACACUUACUUUGUGUACAAUUAAGGUAUGUUUAUAUAUGUUCGUUUUGCUAAGCCACU